CAGGAUUAGAUACCCUGGUAGUCCACGCCGUAAACGAUGUCGACUGGAGGUUGUUCCCUUGAGGAGUGGCUUCCGGAGCUAACGCGUUAAGUCGACCGCCUGGGGAGUACGGCCGCAAGGUUAAAACUCAAAUGAAUUGACGGGGGCCCGCACAAGCGGUGGAGCAUGUGGUUUAAUUCGAUGCAACGCGAAGAACCUUACCUACUCUUGACAUCCAGAGAACUUAGCAGAGAUGCUUUGGUGCCUUCGGGAACUCUGAGACAGGUGCUGCAUGGCUGUCGUCAGCUCGUGUUGUGAAAUGUUGGGUUAAGUCCCGCAACGAGCGCAACCCUUAUCCUUUGUUGCCAGCGGUUCGGCCGGGAACUCAAAGGAGACUGCCAGUGAUAAACUGGAGGAAGGUGGGGAUGACGUCAAGUCAUCAUGGCCCUUACGAGUAGGGCUACACACGUGCUACAAUGGCAUAUACAAAGAGAAGCGACCUCGCGAGAGCAAGCGGACCUCAUAAAGUAUGUCGUAGUCCGGAUUGGAGUCUGCAACUCGACUCCAUGAAGUCGGAAUCGCUAGUAAUCGUAGAUCAGAAUGCUACGGUGAAUACGUUCCCGGGCCUUGUACACACCGCCCGUCACACCAUGGGAGUGGGUUGCAAAAGAAGUAGGUAGCUUAACCUUCGGGAGGGCGCUUA
rnacentral:rRNA from 1 species